rnacentral:rRNA from 1 species
CCUCCGUAGGGGGAACCUGCGGAGGGAUCAUUACAAGAACGCCCGGGCUUCGGCCUGGUUAUUCAUAACCCUUUGUUGUCCGACUCUGUUGCCUCCGGGGCGACCCUGCCUUCGGGCGGGGGCUCCGGGUGGACACUUCAAACUCUUGCGUAACUUUGCAGUCUGAGUAAACUUAAUUAAUAAAUUAAAACUUUUAACAACGGAUCUCUUGGUUCUGGCAUCGAUGAAGAACGCAGCGAAAUGCGAUAAGUAAUGUGAAUUGCAGAAUUCAGUGAAUCAUCGAAUCUUUGAACGCACAUUGCGCCCCCUGGUAUUCCGGGGGGCAUGCCUGUUCGAGCGUCAUUUCACCACUCAAGCCUCGCUUGGUAUUGGGCAACGCGGUCCGCCGCGUGCCUCAAAUCGUCCGGCUGGGUCUUCUGUCCCCUAAGCGUUGUGGAAACUAUUCGCUAAAGGGUGUUCGGGAGGCUACGCCGUAAAACAACCCCAUUUCUAAGGUUGACCUCGGAUCAGGUAGGAAUACCCGCUGAACUUAAGCAUAUCAAAGGCCGGAGGA